GUUUCAGUGUUUGCAGAUGACACAAAACUCUGUAAAAUAAUAAAAUGUGAGCAAAAUAUUACUUUGCUGCAGAGGGAUUUAGAUAGACUGGGGGACUGGGCACUCAAAUGGCAGAUGAAAUGUAAUGAUGAAAAAUGCAAAGUUAUGCACUUUGGCGUAAAGAAUACACAAGCAACGUAUACCCUUAAUGGAAGCGAAUUAGGG